rnacentral:lncRNA from 1 species
GGACUCGGAGCGGGGUGGGGGGGGAGUUGGGGGGGUCUCCCGGAGCUGGGGUGCUCCUUGCAGCACAUGCUGCUGAAGCUGUGCCAGAUGUUGGGACUCACAAAUAAAUUUUUACAGUGAUUUUAUUGGCUGCAGACACACGCAGCAUCUUCUUGCGCUCCUCCUUGAGGUGGAUGGGCAGCUAGCUGGAGAUGACACAGGAUGAUGCGCAUCUUUCGCACGCUGGCUCCAAGAUCUCCGCUGCCAGAUGCAGCAACAAAGCUUCUUUGUACAGACAGCCCUGGACACACUUCCAGCAGCAAUUCUUCUUGCAGGAACUGGUGCAAGAACAGGAUUUAUUCGUGGCACAGGAGCAGUUGGUGUCCACUGGGAGUGGAGGCAGAAGAGAGACCAGAGCGGGUAUGUUAGGAGAGAAAGCAGUGACUUCAACAGAAGUGGAGUAAAUAAAGAUGAUCACAGAACUUGGAAGCUGACGAAAUUAAUUUUGGAAAAGAGCUGGCUUGGAGCAUGACAGAAGAAUUCGAUGGAAAGAGUGCUGGGAGCCCAACUCAAGACUGAUGUGUGCUUGGCAGGCAGUCUACCCCCGAUCUCAGUCCUCCAGCCUUUCGGCCUUUUUUCCUUUUUGGAGACAGAAUUGCAUCAUAUGGCAUCCUACACAGUCCUGCCUCAGUCUCUGCAGUGCUGGGAUUGUAGGCCUAUGCCACCUAGCCUUUCUACAAUACAAACAAAUAUGAAAAGAAGAGGGACUUCUUUGGAAAGGAGUACAGGGACUAUGGAAGAGAUGAAAAGAUAAUAUUGUCAGAAAUUAUGCCGCUUUUGAAGAGAUAAACUGAACUCUUGAUUCUGUGAGGUUAUUAAAGAAUAUUAAUUUUCAAAUCACGGUAAAAUCUUGAUUCAGCAACACAUGAGGAUAAUCAUUGUGUCCAUGGAAACCUUGGGAAGCAGUUGAAAGCCUGGUCCCUCUUGCCUGGAGCAUUAACACAACGUGGCUGCAAAGUUAGUCCUUUCCCGCUACCAUCUCCUGAAUACUGGGACUAACUACACGUAUGCACGAACCUGCCCAUCUUUGCCUCUGUUAACAGCUGCCACUGUCUCUUCACGACAUGAUGGCUGACCUAGGUUGGAAGGAACAGAGCCAGUUGGCCAUGGACUGAAACUUUUGGAACUGAUUCUGAGGAGUUAAUGUUUCCAUGAAUAUCUCAGAAGGAGAUGUGGACAAACGAACAGUUAUCUCACUCCUGUAGGUUGGACUACAGUGAUCACUGAGUAGGAGCUUCGUCUUUAAAAUCUGGGGUGUGCUGUUAUGCAAUCUUCUUUCCCUGCCCAGUACUGGAUCUGUGAAAAGCUGAAUCAUGAAUCAGUGAGUGUGCGGAUUGGAACCCAAGUUGCUCUCUGGAUAGAACGAAAGGAGUCGUGCCCCAAGAAGAUGGAGAGGGAAGUUAUGAAAUGCUGUGACCAAAUAACAAAUGCUGAUGUUUGGGGAGAUAACUGUUUCCCAUAGGAAAUAGAGUGAAUGCGAUGUCUUUCUUUUGUGAGGGAUUCAUAGACCGCUUCUCAACGCUUGUUACAUGUUACUCCUUUUUUCGAGAUUUUUAUUUACCUAACUGGGAAAGAAACCAGAACAAGGUUUUCAUUGAAUUCUGAUACAGGUAUUUAAAGACUUACGGACAAGAUAUAGAAGAAGAAGUGGUAAUUAACUGAUUAAAGAAGUACAGUUUAUAUCCAGUAGACAGACAGGCUCCAGACAUCCUUAGUGCUGUCUUAGCAUCAAAGGUUAAUCUACCUAAUACUUGUCAUCCUGAAAUGCAUGGUGGAACAUCCAACAGACAAGAGCUACUUCAGGGAAGGACUAUGAUUUUUGUCGUGGAAGACAUUUAACACAGGGCAGCUCCUGUGCACUUACAUGAUAGAUAUUGCUCUUCCGGGGACUCUGAAUGCUCAUCCCACUUUCAGCUCACUAGGCACAUCGAACUAGAAAUUUUAUCAUCUCGUGAAUUAGUCCAAUACCUGAAGGAGCAAGAGAACCAACACCCAGUUGACAAGAAUAUGACCUGUUGAUUGAAGACCAUUAAGAAAGUAACUUGAUUCAGUUGGACUGGACUUUUUUAUUCUAUUGAAAAAGGAAUUUAUUUCCCCUCAGUGAACGUAACAUGAUCAACAUUUUGAAAGUUGUGAACAUGCAUAGUUCUAUAAUUUACAAAAUAAUUAUAAAAAUCUGAGUAUGGAUGCAGCAUAAUUUCAGAACAGAAUAGCCAUCAUACUUUUUAUAUAUCUUAAAUUCGAGUUUUCAAGAGUAUAUUUCUAUGUUAUAUCCUUUGAUUAGUACAAUAUAAAAUCUACAUCUAAUAUGUACUUCAGGUUUUAUUAGAUCAUGCCAUAUUACUGUACAAUUUGGACUUUUCCAUUUUUAUAUAAAAUGUAACAUGCAUUGUACAUUAAUAUUUAUAUAUCUUGUUUAUUUAUAUAUCUUUAGAAUUAAUUUCUGCCAAUUAUUUUCUUUAUUUGAAUACUUGGGGUAUCAUAAAGGUGCUGUUGAGGUAUUCUCAAUAUGCUUGUACAACUUCCUGCCUGUAGUUAAUAAAUGUGGAUAUUUCAUUAAACAAUUGAAAUAUAA